rnacentral:rRNA from 1 species
AGGUAGCACAAUCACUUGUUCUUUAAAUAAGGACUAGUAUGAACGGCACCACGAAGACCAUGCUGUCUCCUUUUUCUAAUCAGUGAAACUGAUCUCCCCGUGAAGAAGCGGGGAUUAUCCUAUAAGACGAGAAGACCCUAUGAAGCUUAAAAUUUAUAUCAACUGCCACCCAUACACCACCUCAACCUGACAGACCUGAUUAUCAAUUUUUGGUUGGGGUGACCGCGGAGCAAAAUUAAACCUCCACAAUGAAAGGAUCAACCUCCUAAUUCAAGAAUUACACUUCUAAAAAUCAACAUAUUGACAUAAAUUGAUCCAAACCUUUGAUCAAUGAACCAAGUUACUCUAGGGAUAACAGCGCAAUCCAUUUCAAGAGCCCUAUCNA